rnacentral:rRNA from 1 species
GUGGGGAAUCUUGCGCAAUGGGCGAAAGCCUGACGCAGCGACGCCGCGUGAGGGAGGAAGGCCUUCGGGUUGUAAACCUCUUUCAGGAGGGACGAAGCUACUCGGGUGAAUAGCCCAGAGGGUGACGGUACCUCCAGAAGAAGCACCGGCUAACUACGUGCGAGCAGCCGCGGUAAUACGUAGGGGGCAAGCGUUGUCCGGAUUUACUGGGCGUAAAGCGCGUGUAGGCGGCCACGCAGGUCCGUUGUGAAAACUGGAGGCUCAACCUCCAGACGUCGACGGAAACCGUGUGGCUAGAGUCCGGAAGAGGAGAGUGGAAUUCCUGGUGUAGCGGUGAAAUGCGCAGAUAUCAGGAAGAACACCAAUGGCGAAGGCAGCUCUCUGGGACGGUACUGACGCUGAGACGCGAAAGCGUGGGGAGCGA